ensembl:lncRNA
AGGGAAGCCCCGUGUCUGUGCCCUCAGGGCCCCUCUCCCAGGGCUACACGGCAGGGGAGAGACCCCAACACCCCAGCCCAGUGCUAGCAGAGAAGGUGCUCAGCAAGGAGUGAAGCCAUGUGCUGAGCCUGUGGAAUUGGCGAGGAGAGCGGGAAAACACAGGUCAGAGAGGCUGAGAGAUGGAGGAGGGGAUGCUGGAAGGGCACAGAGAUGCUGGUCCCUUGGGCAAGGAGAGGGGCUGGGGCACCAGCAGUCCUGGUCACAGCUCUCACUCGUUCCGUAUGACUCCACUGCUGUUGGACACUCUGGGUGGUUUGCUGGAUCCUCCCUUUCCCCCUGACCCCACCAGCCCUGGGCAGCUGCCCCACAGCCCUGUACACCCAGGCAGCUGUGAGUGCUGGGUACUGCCACCUCCAUCCCGGGCAUCCCUGUCCCUUGUGUUCAGUCACUGCUAUCCCUCCCUGUCCCGGGUAUCCCUGGCAUUCCUCUCCUCCGUGUCCCCAUCCUUGCAUCCCCAUCUUGGUGUCCCCACCCCACGGGGCUGGGUGUGAGCAGGGCCCGUGUAGGGGGCAGGAGGGUCAAGGCUCAGGGACUGAGGGUCCCUGUAGGACCCUGCGGGUGGGGAGGAGGGGCUGAGCCCUGCGAAGGGAGGGGACCCCACGGGACAGGACACCCCCAGCCGUGGCUGGGAGCCCUGAGGGAGGCGGUGCCCAUGCAGGGCCCUGCACUCCCCGCAGUGUCUGCAGGGGGACGCCCCGGGCGCGGGGCUGUGGGCAGGGGUCGGCAGUGCCGGCGGGGAGGGGGUUAAGGGGCUGCGGAGGAGCGGAAGGGCUGCAGCUGGGCUGGGAGCGGGGCCUGGGGAAGCGCCGGGACCCAGCUGGCCUCCAUGAGCUCAUCCGCCGGGACCGGGCGGGAUGCACGCCCCGGCCCAGUGCCAGCGCUCCCGCCACGCGGCCACCGCGCCCGCUGUACGGCCUGCAAGCCACCACCGCCACCCGCGGGCCCUGCGAGCCACCGACUGCCACCCUGCACGGCCAGCGAGCCACCACCGCCACCCGCGGGGCCUGCGAGCCACCACUGCCAGCCUGCAUGGCCUGCGAGCCACCACCGCCACCCGCGGGGCCUGCGAGCCACCACUGCCAGCCUGCAUGGCCUGCGAGCCACCGACUGCCACCCGCGGGCCCUGCGAGCCACCGACUGCCACCCUGCACGGCCAGCGAGCCACCACCGCCACCCGCGGGGCCUGCGAGCCACCGACUGCCACCCUGCAUGGCCUGCAAGCCACCGACUGCCACCCGCGGGCCCUGCGAGCCACCGACUGCCACCCUGCAUGGCCUGCGAGCCACCACUGCCACCCGCGGGCCCUGCGAGCCACCGACUGCCACCCGCGGGGCCUGUGAGCCACCGACUGCCACCCGCGGGCCCUGGAAGGCCCUGCCACCCUCACCCUGCCUCACGGCCACCCCAGAAGCCACUGCCACACACCUUCACCCCUGCUGGCCACCCCAUCAGCCACUGCCAGCCACCCCACAAAGCCCCCAGGAGCCACUGCCGGUGCCCCCAUGAUGGUCUGCAUGGGUGCACAAGGGUUGCCCAUUCACUGCCCAGUCCUGUCCUGGCCCUCAUGCCCAGUUUUCCAGCCCCAGCAGCCUCCCAGAGCUGGGACAUGGUGCCCCAGCCACAGUCCCUCCCAGAUGCCCCCAGCUCCAGCUCUGGGAUGCUGGGGGGGGGUUAUCAUUCCUCCACUGCCAGCCUACGGUGCUGCUGCUACUGGUUUGAACUGGGAGUGCUCUCCCCCUGCACUUCAAACCACCCCUCAAUGCCCGUGGUUUGCCUCCCCAGCUGCAGCAGCAGGCACCUUGCCCAAGAGAUUUGGUGA